UACGGGGGGCUGCAGUGGGGAAUAUUGCACAAUGGGCGGAAGCCUGAUGCAGCGACGCCGCGUGAGGGAUGACGGCCUUCGGGUUGUAAACCUCUUUCAGUAGGGAAGAAGCGAAAGUGACGGUACCUGCAGAAGAAGCGCCGGCUAACUACGUGCCAGCAGCCGCGGUAAUACGUAGGGCGCAAGCGUUAUCCGGAUUUAUUGGGCGUAAAGAGCUCGUAGGCGGUUUGUCGCGUCUGCCGUGAAAGUCCGAGGCUCAACCUCGGAUCUGCGGUGGGUACGGGCAGACUAGAGUGAUGUAGGGGAGACUGGAAUUCCUGGUGUAGCGGUGAAAUGCGCAGAUAUCAGGAGGAACACCGAUGGCGAAGGCAGGUCUCUGGGCAUUUACUGACGCUG
rnacentral:rRNA from 1 species